rnacentral:rRNA from 1 species
UCUUCCACAAUGGGGGAAACCCUGAUGCAGCGACGCCGCGUGGGUGACGAAGUAUUUCGGUAUGUAAAGCCCUAUCAGCAGGGAAGAAGAUGACAGUACCUCAGGAGGAAGCUCCGGCUAACUAUGUGCCAGCAGCCGCGGUAAUACAUAGGGAGCAAGCGUUAUCCGGAUUUAUUGGGUGUAAAGGGUGCGUAGACGGGAAAUUAAGUUAGUUGUGAAAUCCCUCGGCUUAACUGAGGAACUGCAACUAAAACUGAUUUUCUUGAGUACUGGAGAGGAAAGUGGAAUUCCUAGUGUAGCGGUGAAAUGCGUAGAUAUUAGGAGGAACACCAGUGGCGAAGGCGACUUUCUGGACAGUAACUGACGUUGAGGCACGAAAGUGUGGGGAGCAAACAGG